UCAUGACAACCAAAUUAUUUUCAAGAAAAACUGAUCAAGUUCACUUUUCUAUAUAACUAGAAAUGUUAAUAUCUUUAAGAGAAAAUUGACUAUUACGACUUGGUCAUUAUUUCAUGUAAGCAUUUUUUGUUUAUAUUCGGUAGUCAUUCACAUGCAGGAAAAAAUUUAUAGUUUAGUCUGUUUUAAAAUGAGUUCCAGAGGCAAGUUUUUAGUGAAAUUGUGUUUAGAUAAUGCUGAAGCUAAUACACAGGAAAAUAAUGAACCCGCUUCGUUAAUCUCAGAGACACAAAAAGUAUGUGUUUUACCUGUGGCAACCACAAAUGAAAAUUACAAUGACGAUCCUGCAUCCAUAGUAAAUAGUGUUGUUGAAGGCACAUUAAGCUCUACGCCAAAAAAGUUUUAAAAUGACCUACCUACAUGCUCAGUAAAGGAAAAUACAUCUGAAAGCGAUUUAAAUUUUUCUUCUGGCAGCAUUGAUAAUUAUUACAUACCUAGUGACCACGAAAACAUGUCAAAUGGAAAAUCGUCUUCAGAAAGUGACACACGACAGCUACGUUUUGAAGCGGCAAUUCAAAACGUAGCUGUCGCUGGAAGAAAAGUGAUCCUUCUCAGUGGAAAAGCAAUAUUGCCAAAAAAAAUAAAAUGUCAAGUUUGACUUAUAAAUCUAAAAAGGGCAUAGUAAAGCCAACAAAGAAACCUAGAUUAAUUAAUUGCUCCUGUAAAUUUAAAUGCUCCUUAAAUUUUAGUGAUGAGUUGAACAAUUUAUGCUCACAAUUUUGGGCUCUUGACUACAAAAGACAAAAAGACUUUAUUCUUUGUUAUGUUACAAGUAAGGCCAACGAGGUAGUUCAGAAAUAGGAACAUGUCUGCUUACAUUCAUACAAAAUUUGCCACAAAAUAUUACGGAAAUAAGUUUGUUUUUUGAUACCUGCAGUGGUCAAAAUAGAAAUCAGUUUAUUGCGGCCUUAUUUAUGUUUAUUGUACAUUUUGUACAAAAUAGUAACUUAAGUGUUAUACAACAUAAUUUCUUAGAGUCUGGUCAUUCAUACAUGGAGGCAGACUCUAUGCACAGUGCUAUAGAGAAUGCAAAAAAAAAUAUACCAGUAUAUACCAUGCAUGAUUGGUGUAACAUUUUUCGAUUAGCUCGCAAUCGUGGACAAAAUAAAAUAAGUGGACCAUACAACAUUCAUGAAUUAAAGUAUAGUGAUUUCUUUGACUUAAAGGCACUAGCUGCUCGUACUUUUAAGAAUAGAACUAUAGAUAAAAACGGUAAUCGCGUAAAUUGGUUAAAGAUCAAGUGCAUGCGAUAUGAAAGAAAUAUGCCGCAGUAUGUCCUAUUUAAAUACAAUUAUAGCGACUUGGAGUUUAUUAAACUUAAUGUAACAGGACGUAUGAAACGAACAGCGAAUGAUGUUAUCAUAAAUGAAAUACCUCAUCUAUACAGCAAAGAAAUUCCAAUAUCCAAUGCCAAAAAGCAAGAUCUUUUAAAGCUUUGUAGAAUGGGAGCAAUUCCUUCCGAGUUUCAUCCAUGGUACCAAUUGAUACCAUCAGAUAGUGGAAAAAAGAUGUCGCUCCGGAGCCAUCAGCGUUUUCAGAUUCAGAUUCGGACUAGUUCUUUUUAAAUAUUGCUCUAUUUUUUAUAUUUUUCUACUUCAAUAAGAGUUACAUGUUUAUUUUAAAUGUAUUUAAAUUUAUAUUUUUCAAUAAAUUUAAAACAAAGCAUUUUUUUUGUGUUUUGUUGCUAGACGAAAUUAAUUUGUUGUUGACCAUCAUUGCGAAAUGGAGAAAUUCCUACAUCCAAAAGU